rnacentral:rRNA from 1 species
AACGAACGCUGGCGGCAUGCCUAACACAUGCAAGUCGAACGAGACCUUCGGGUCUAGUGGCGCACGGGUGCGUAACGCGUGGGAACCUGCCCUUAGGUUCGGAAUAACUCCCCGAAAGGGGUGCUAAUACCGGAUAAUGUCUUCGGACCAAAGAUUUAUCGCCUUUGGAUGGGCCCGCGUUGGAUUAGCUCGUUGGUAGGGUAAAAGCCUACCAAGGCGACGAUCCAUAGCUGGUCUGAGAGGAUGAUCAGCCACACUGGGACUGAGACACGGCCCAGACUCCUACGGGAGGCAGCAGGGGGGAAUAUUGGACAAUGGGCGAAAGCCUGAUCCAGCAAUGCCGCGUGAGUGAUGAAGGCCUUAGGGUUGUAAAGCUCUUUUACCCGGGAUGAUAAUGACAGUACCGGGAGAAUAAGCUCCGGCUAACUCCGU